GAUGAACGCUGGCGGCGUGCUUAACACAUGCAAGUCGAACGAAGCACUUUGAUCGAUUUCUUCGGAAUGAAGUUUUAGUGACUGAGUGGCGGACGGGUGAGUAACGCGUGGGUAACCUGCCUCACACAGGGGGAUAACAGUUGGAAACGGCUGCUAAUACCGCAUAAGCGCACAGUACCGCAUGGUACGGUGUGAAAAACUCCGGUGGUGUGAGAUGGACCCGCGUCUGAUUAGCUAGUUGGCAGGGCAGCGGCCUACCAAGGCGACGAUCAGUAGCCGACCUGAGAGGGUGACCGGCCACAUUGGGACUGAGACACGGCCCAAACUCCUACGGGAGGCAGCAGUGGGGAAUAUUGCACAAUGGACGAAAGUUUGAUGGAGCAACGCCGCGUGCAGGAUGACAGCCUUCGGGUCGUAAACUGCUUUUAUGAGUGAAGAUUAUGACAGUAACUCAAGAAUAAGGGACGGCUAACUACGUGCCAGCCGCCGCCGUAA
rnacentral:rRNA from 1 species